CCUACGGGGCGCAGCAGUGGGGAAUAUUGGACAAUGGGCGAAAGCCUGAUCCAGCCAUGCCGCGUGUGUGAAGAAGGCCUUCGGGUUGUAAAGCACUUUCAGUGGGGAAGAAAGCCUUGGGGCUAAUACCCUCGAGGAAGGACAUCACCCACAGAAGAAGCACCGGCUAACUCCGUGCCAGCAGCCGCGGUAAUACGGAGGGUGCGAGCGUUAAUCGGAAUUACUGGGCGUAAAGCGCGCGUAGGCGGUCUGAUAAGCCGGUUGUGAAAGCCCCGGGCUCAACCUGGGAACGGCAUCCGGAACUGUCAGGCUAGAGUGCAGGAGAGGAAGGUAGAAUUCCCGGUGUAGCGGUGAAAUGCGUAGAGAUCGGGAGGAAUACCAGUGGCGAAGGCGGCCUACUGGACUGACACUGACGCUGAGGAGCGAGAGCGUGGGUAGCAAACAGGAUUAGAUACCCCGGUAGUC
rnacentral:rRNA from 1 species